rnacentral:rRNA from 1 species
CUCGUAGGCGGCCAACUAAGUCAGACGUGAAAUCCCUCGGCUUAACCGGGGAACUGCGUCUGAUACUGGAUGGCUUGAGAUUGGGAGAGGGAUGCGGAAUUCCAGGUGUAGCGGUGAAAUGCGUAGAUAUCUGGAGGAACACCGGUGGCGAAGGCGGCAUCCUGGACCAAUACUGACGCUGAGGAGCGAAAGCCAGGGGAGCAAACGGGAUUAGAUACCCCGGUAGUCCUGGCCCUAAACGAUGAAUGCUUGGUGUGGCGGGUAUCGAUCCCUGCCGUGCCGAAGCUAACGCAUUAAGCAUUCCGCCUGGGGAGUACGGUCGCAAGGCUGAA